UUGAUCUGAGUGGGGCUGAGGGACAAUCCUGGUCCGCUCCACGCCGCAUCUCUCGACUCGGCACAGGCUUGGCACUGGCUCGGGAGAUUCUCUAGAACCCCGCAAGCGGCGGCAAUGACUGGAUCCCGCUGAGGCGGCGGCGGAGCUCGGAGGCGGCCCCAGCGCAGCUGCAGUCGAGUGGAUCAGAUCCCAUCCCCUGCUCACCCUGGUGCUGGCUCUGCUCCUGCUCUUGCUCCUGGCUUUGUUGGUGCCCUUGGCUGUUGUGUCAGGGGGAGGGCACAGAGAGACUCCAGUUACUCCAGUAACAGCUGACACUCCAGUGCUGCUGGCCUGUCCCCAUGACUGGGUCGGGCACCGCGGGAUCUGCUACUUCCUCUCGAGGGAUCAGCUCAGCUGGGAUCAGGCCCAGGCUCGGUGCUCUGAGCUCGGGGCCUCCCUGGCCGUGCUCCAGGACUGGGAAAUGGGGUUCCUCUUCCCUCACAGUGCCAGGGUCGAUUACUGGGUCGGGCUGCGCAGACGGGGCCGGGAGCUGCAGUGGGGGGAUGGCAGCAGCUUCAACUCCUCGGUUCCUGUCCUGGGCAAUGCAGGGUGUGUGUUCCUGGCUGAGGAUAAACUCAGGAGUGCUCCCUGCUCAAAUCCGAUGCCCUAUGUCUGCAGCAGACCCCAAACUCACCUUGGAUGAGAUGGGAUGGAGAAAGGACCUUCUACAUGCUGGGCACUCUCCGCUUCUCCUCUUCCCCACAGCACAGGGAUGUCCUUCCUCAGUCACAGCAUCUACCUUAGGGUCAUCUCAGUGCCUGCUCUCAGUGUCCCCUUGGUGCCUGUCAGCAAGUGAUGAACCUGUGGGAGGAGGAGACAAUGUGUAAGCUGCUGUGUGGUUGCCUGGGCUGGGGAUUUCUUUCUUCUCCUGGAACCAUCUCUGAGCUCAAGUGGUUUCUCUUGCACUUUGUGUUUCUACACUGAUUCUGUUUCUAUGUAUAGAUUCAUAUCCCUGUGCGUACAGCCCUGAAAGAUGUGCUGCCAUAGGAAUGGGACCUUGGUUAGGCUAAAUUGCCAAUAAUGCCAAGGUUGGGAUUUGAUUUCAUGGUCAGAGCUGGGCUGGAUCCUUGUGGGACCCUUCCAGCUCAGAGGAUUCUCUGAAAUGGCCUUGUGUGACCCCCAUCAGUGUUUGUGCUACCAAUGUUAC